rnacentral:misc_RNA from 1 species
AAGUCGUAACAAGGUUUCCGUAGGUGAACCUGCGGAAGGAUCAUUAACACGUAUCCACGUAUCCACCCAAAGCGAAUCCGUUUUCAUUCUCCCUCUAGAUCAGUGAAGGAAUCGAGUCGACAGCGAAGUACGAGUGGGGCCCUAGCCGGCCUAUUUGCUGUUCACCAACUGAGGUUUCGGCCUCGACGAUUGUAUCACUGUGGAGGCUAAUUUCUUUACUACUUGGGUUUCCAACUCUGCCGUGGUAGUAAGGAUAACUUUAAUAACUUAUCUCACCCCUUUUUGCUAGUUGACUUUUAUAUGUUGUUACUUGCGCUUUGCGCAUGGAGCACACGUUUAAUUAUUUGAACGUUAAAAAUACAACUCUUAGCAAUGGAUAUCUUGGUUCUC